UGCAAUGCUGUAUGUGCUCUGGUGAUUCCACUGGUGUUUCCCUUUAGUUGAAGGGAGAUGUAGUGAUCAUUCCAAGUGGGAGUGAGCCAUCAAGCAUCCCAGCCACUGGCUUUUGAUAAACUAGAGCCCUGUGAUCUUCCUGGCUCAUAAUAUGAUGUAAUCUGUACCAGCUCCUCACACCAAUCCACUGAUACAGGGGGAAAGAGAGCAAAGACCAAACAAGCAGAAGACCUCUUCUUCUGGUUAGAACGCUUGUUAAGAGCAGUGGGAGGCAAGAAAUCUUGGAUGACCUGAACUCCAGAGAGAAGUGAGCCCACUAUGUGGUACAAGCUGCUUCCCUGUCCUGACAGCACAACAAAAGCUACAAACUCGGGGAACAUGGGGACCUCACGGAGGCAGUCACAGCUGACUCAUUGAGAUGUGCAGAUAGCAGAAAGCGAGGGAGGCAAGAGAAAAUCAGCACAGAGCCAACAUCAGAGAUCAAAGGACAGUAGCGGAAGUCACUGCACGGAGAAGUAGCGCACCUGUGGCUUAUCCAAGCAGCCAGGGUUCCAGAGCUUCUAGGCUAGAGCUCUGAAAUAUUCACCAAACAGUUGGCAACUUUGCCUUUUGCAUGGGAAAUAAAUGAAAACGAAUCUUGGCCAUCUA